CCUACGGGGGGCAGCAGUGAGGAAUAUUGGUCAAUGGGCGCGAGCCUGAACCAGCCAAGUCGCGUGAAGGAUGACUGCCCUACGGGUUGUAAACUUCUUUUAUAAAGGAAUAAAGUGGGGCACGUGUGCCUUUUUGUAUGUACUUUAUGAAUAAGGAUCGGCUAACUCCGUGCCAGCAGCCGCGGUAAUCCGGAGGAUCCGAGCGUUAUCCGGAUUUAUUGGGUUUAAAGGGAGCGUAGAUGGGUUGUUAAGUCAGUUGUGAAAGUUUGCGGCUCAACCGUAAAAUUGCAAUUGAUACUGGCAGCCUUGAGUACAGUUGAGGUAGGCGGAAUGCGUGGUGUAGCGGUGAAAUGCUUAGAUAUCACGAAGAACGCCGAUUGCGAAGGCAGCUUACUAAACUGCCACUGACAUUGAUGCGCGAAAGUGUGGGUAUCAAACAGGAUUAGAUACCCGGGUAGUC
rnacentral:rRNA from 1 species